CGUAGGGUGCGAGCGUUAAUCGGAAUUACUGGGCGUAAAGCGUGCGCAGGCGGUUUGUUAAGAUAGGCGUGAAAUCCCCGGGCUCAACCUGGGAACUGCGCUUAUGACUGGCAAGCUAGAGUACGGCAGAGGGGGUGGAAUUCCACGUGUAGCAGUGAAAUGCGUAGAGAUGUGGAGGAACACCAAUGGCGAAGGCAGCCCCCUGGGUCGAUACUGACGCUCAUGCACGAAAGCGUGGGUAGCAAACAGGAUUAGAUACCCUGGUGGUCCACGCCCUAAACGAUGUCAACUAGGUGUUGGGAGGGUAAAACCUUUUAGUACCGGAGCUAACGCGUGAAGUUGACCGCCUGGGGAGUACGGCCGCAAGGUUA
rnacentral:rRNA from 1 species